rnacentral:rRNA from 1 species
UACGUAGGUGGCAAGCGUUACUCGGAAUCACUAGGCGUAAAGCGCAGGUAGGCGGUUUGAUAAGUCUGUUGUGAAAGCUCCCGGCUUAACUGGGAGAGGUCAACGGAAACUAUCAGGCUAGAGUGUGGUAGAGGUAGCUGGAAUUCCCGGUGUAGCGGUGAAAUGCGCAGAUAUCAGGAGGAACACCGGUGGCGAAGGCGGGUCUCUGGGCCGAUACUGACGCUGAGGAGCGAAAGCCAGGGGAGCAAACGGG